GGCGUCGUCCCCGCCCACCGCGCACGCGCCACCACCAGGAGCCUCAUCUCCGCGCUCUAGCUGGAGGAGGUUCUGGUCCUUCACGCGGUCCAGAGCGGGGCGUCCAGGGGAAGGCUCACUGUGGACGAGACGUGAGGGGAAGAUGGAGACCAGUGUGGCUGGGAGGCGUGGACGCGGACGGCAUGGAGGUAGCGGCUAGCACUCAGCGCCGGUGCCAGUCAAUCUAGCCGCAGCCCGACCUCGGGAGGUAGUUGCCAUGGAGGCGGAACGGUGAGAAGGGAGCGGCAAGGGCGGAGACAUCCGUGUCGGCCACGGGUCCGGCGGCGACCGACGGCUAUGCGAGUCGGUGCGCAGGUUUUGAACUGCCAUGAUUAUGAUAUGUACAUAUAUUAGCACCGGUGCGGUAUGCUACUAAUACUAAUGUUCUUCGUGCUGCUGGUAAGGUCUAUAUGGGAUCGUUUUACCGGUGUGGGAUCUCUUUAUUUUGCUGAUAGGCGUGCAGUAUUGGGAAUGGGCCAUAUGUUUUAAAGAUUUAUGGGGUGAUUGCUCACAAGAUCGGUUCUUGCCUUCUCCUGCGGAUACCCCUACUCACAAACAAUCUCAGUCAUAUAUUUAAGAUACACAGAACAAGCUGGAUCGUAGGAUGGACAUUCUGGUACAAAUGAUGGUGAAGAGGACGAGGGUCCUGCUAUAGAUGAUCAAUAGUUGCCUUCAGCUCUAUGCCUGUGCCACAACGGAGGAUGUUGGUCCUUCUGUAUUGGAUGCUGAGCCGUCAUGUCCAUCUCACAAUUUAUGAUGGUACACAAAGGAGCCAGAUGCCACGAUGUACUCUCGAUCAUGAGAAUGCCUAAUGGUUGUAAUCCUCUGGUGCAGAAAUUUCGUAUGGCCCAAUAGUGGUUGUUUUAUCCUCAAACUCCACAAGUGGCCAGCCGUUCAUAUGGUCAUGAGGGGGCAAAUCUAGGUGACUCGAGAAAGGUUUUAAUGAUCUUGUGGUAGAUGAAAUUGGUGUACCAACCAUGGAGCGAAGAAAGGAAGUGCUUGACCAUCUCUAAAAGCAUAGCAGUAAUUUACAGUUUCAAUGGGCAGAGGGAAGUCAAGCGCCCAAGGCAAUGAUAUGCUCUCAUGACUUAUGCUGCUGUUGAAGGGCUUCAAAUGUUAAGAACAGGCGUGAACCAUAUGUGGGGCCACCUUGAUGAAAUUCUUACAGGCAGGGGAGCAUCGAGUGUAAAAGUCACUUUCCAGGUUUACUGAGUUGCUGGAACAAAAUCAUCAUCUAAUGUCUUCGCCACCAUCAUAGUCACAUGGCCAGGACCGGUCCUAGAGCCAAAAUGACCUGGUGUCAUCCAAUAGGUCGUACAUAAUUUUCAUUUCAUGUAUGGGUGUCACUCACUAUGAAUACAUGUAAUAUAUCAAAGGAAAUUGGUUUGUACCCGGUGUGCUGUGACACCUGUUGGCUGAACCUAGGUACGCCCCUGAUCAUGACCUGGAACUAAGAAACCUCUUGACUACCACAUUGGGCUAUCUAUGCAUUGUGCGUCAAUGGUGGACUUGGUGUUGUGGAUAUAGAUGGCAGCUUCCUUAGUUUUUGCAGGAUGUUUCAUGUCUAUUUUCAUCUAUACAUCUCCUUACAGCCUUCUAGGAUAUUUCUCACGAGGUUCAGAAGGCGAGGUGCCUUAGCAGGCAGCCAAAAUUGGAUGCCUGUUUUUUUGUUGGCACUGCAUUAUAUUUGAUGUACAUAUGUUCAGUUGCUGAGGUAAGAUCUCAGCAGUUAUUUUGCCAUGUUCUCUUUGUUGCUCCAUUGUAACAGAGCCACAGUUAUGUUCUUCCAAGUUUUAUGUGAGUAUGGUUAAUAUGUUCUUUCCUCAUUUUCAUUACCCUUUUUGCUGCAUCUCUCUACUUAGUUCGGUGGAAGGCUGCAAUAUUUAUAUUGCCAUUUAUGGUUUCACCACGGCACCGAAGAAGCAAAGGCCUGAAUGUUAGGUUCUGCAGUCCUGAACUUUGGAACUUAGAUAUGAUUGUCCUCUGGUCCAGCUUUGUGUAAUUAAAUGUAACUGCUCAUAAAUUGGUUUCCAAUUUUCUUAAUCAAAUGUUGUCUUUUGGUAGUUUU